rnacentral:rRNA from 1 species
CCUACGGGGGGCUGCAGUAACGAAUCUUCCGCAAUGCACGAAAGUGUGACGGAGCGACGCCGCGUGGAGAUGAAGUUCUUCGGAAUGUAAACUUCUGUCAGGGGAAAUUUCCCCAGAGGAAGGGGCGACUAACUCUGUGCCAGCAGUCGCGGUAAGACAGAGGCCCCGAGCGUUAGGCGGAAUCACUGGGCUUAAAGCGCGUGUAGGCGGGAAACUAAGUACCUUGUGAAAUCCCACAGCUUAACUGUGGAACUGCUGGGUAUACUGGUUUUCUUGAGGCAUCUAGGGGCGAGCGGAACAAACGGUGGAGCGGUGAAAUGCGUAGAUAUCGUUUGGAACGCCAAUGGUGAAAACAGCUCGCUGGGAGUCCUGACGCUGAGACGCGAAAGCCAGGGGAGCAAACGGGAUUAGAUACCCUUGUAGUC